GCAGUCGAGCGGACAGAUGGGAGCUUGCUCCCUGAUGUUAGCGGCGGACGGGUGAGUAACACGUGGGUAACCUGCCUGUAAGACUGGGAUAACUCCGAGGAAACCGGAGGCUAAUACCGGAUGGUUGUUUGAACCGCAUGGUUCAAACAUAAAAGGUGGCUUCGGCUACCACUUACAGAUGGACCCGCGGCGCAUUAGCUAGUUGGUGAGGUAACGGCUCACCAAGGCAACGAUGCGUAGCCGACCUGAGAGGGUGAUCGGCCACACUGGGACUGAGACACGGCCCAGACUCCUACGGGAGGCAGCAGUAGGGAAUCUUCCGCAAUGGACGAAAGUCUGACGGAGCAACGCCGCGUGAGUGAUGAAGGUUUUCGGAUCGUAAAGCUCUGUUGUUAGGGAAGAACAAGUACCGUUCGAAUAGGGCGGUACCUUGACGGUGCCUAACCAGAAAGCCACGGCUAACUACGUGCCAGCAGCCGCGGUAAUACGUAGGUGGCAAGCGUUGUCCGGAAUUAUUGGGCG
rnacentral:rRNA from 1 species